rnacentral:lncRNA from 1 species
ACAAAGGCCUUUACAACCUCCAGAGGGCCUUUUGUCUUUCCUUCUGUCUUUUUGAGUGAGUUUUGUUUUUUCCUGAUUUGCUUUCCAAAGUCUUGCCAGGCUACUUGCGUGACUAGAGGGAGCGAAAAAAGCCGCCCUGCUUCCCUGUCUUGCCCUGCCAGAGUGAGAGCCACUGCAGUGAGGAGAGAGAGGCAGGCAGGCGGGCGGCUCGGGAGGAAAGGAGUUUGCCAUGAUGAACAUAUGAUGCUUGGUGUGCCUCAAUCACUCGCAAUUAAUUUUCAUUAACUAGAGUCUGGCGUGGCUACUGGGUCCAAAGCUGACAAGGGCUAAUUGAUGACAAUACUUAUGAUUUUGAACUCAUGGACACUAUUCUGCGGUCAAGUAUAGUCAUCUAGCAUAUUUUCUCAGUUUGACUCAAUGAGAAAUUGAAAACAGUUCAGAUUAUGUUGAAUGAAAAAAACAGUGUAAGAUCUUUUAGAGGUCACUGUUUCUUUGUGUGUUUGAAGUAAACAACAGUUUUUGAUAAAGCACUUGAAUGACCGAGCAAAGGCAUAUUUGUGAGUCGGAAACUCUGAAUUGUAGAAGAUUCAUGAGGUGGAUGGAGUGUGUCGAUUUGAAACACUGUGGAAACACUGAUCUAUAAAAUAGGUAAUAUUAUAUAUCUAAAAUCUAUAUAUAGAGCUCACUGGGCAAAAAGCAAAUCUAUAGUGAAUUAUAAUAAAUGAUUUUGCAAGCUUAUUUUAAUUUUACAUGCUGUAUAUUCAAGUUGUGGUGUACGAAACACCUGAUAAGGACAAUUCACACUGCGACAACUUCUGUGUCAUGUUUCUGAAUUGAUAUGUUAUCGUAAUAUUAAAUGCUUAACUAAGAG